CCUACGGGUGACAGCAGUGAGGAAUAUUGGUCAAUGGUCGGGAGACUGAACCAGCCAAGCCGCGUGAGGGAUGAAGGUACAGAGUAUCGUAAACCUCUUUUGUCAGGGAACAAAGGCGGGGACGUGUCCCCGGCUGAGUGUACCUGAAGAAAAAGCAUCGGCUAACUCCGUGCCAGCAGCCGCGGUAAUACGGAGGAUGCGAGCGUUAUCCGGAUUUAUUGGGUUUAAGGGGGGCGCAGGCGGUCUGUUAAGUCAGCGGUCAAGUCCCGGGGCUCAACCCCGGCCCGCCGUUGAAACUGGCAGUCUCGAGUUGGAGAGAAGUAGGCGGAAUGCGCGGUGUAGCGGUGAAAUGCAUAGAUAGCGCGCAGAACUCCGAUUGCGAAGGCAGCAUGCCGGCUCCACACUGACGCUGAGGCACGAAAGCGUGGGUAUCGAACAGGAUUAGAUACCCCAGUAGUC
rnacentral:rRNA from 1 species